UACGAAGGGGGCUAGCGUUGUUCGGAAUGACUGGGCGUAAAGGGUGUGUAGGCGGUUAGACACGUCAGAUGUGAAAUCCCUGGGCUUAACCUGGGAAUGGCAUUUGAUACGGUAUAGCUAGAGAUUGGUAGAGGGUAGAGGAAUUGCGAGUGUAGAGGUGAAAUUCGUAGAGAUUCGCAGGAACACCGGUGGCGAAGGCGGCUACCUGGGCCAAUACUGACGCUGAGGCGCGAAAGCCAGGGGAGCAAACGGG
rnacentral:rRNA from 1 species